rnacentral:rRNA from 1 species
GAUCCUGGCUCAGGAUGAACGCUAGCUACAGGCUUAACACAUGCAAGUCGAGGGGCAGCAUUUUAGUUUGCUUGCAAACUAAAGAUGGCGACCGGUGCACGGGUGAGUAACACGUAUCCAACCUGCCGAUAACUCGGGGAUAGCCUUUCGAAAGAAAGAUUAAUAUCCGAUGGUAUAUUAAAACCGCAUGGUUUUACUAUUAAGAAUUUCGGUUAUCGAUGGGGAUGCGUUCCAUUAGUUUGUUGGCGGGUAACGCC